CUCUAUGCCGAAAUGGGUACUAGAACAUUUAGUGCAUUUCACAAAGUAUUGUCUGAAAAAGCUCAAAAUGAGGAAAUUCUGUAUGUUCUUCGCCAUUAUAUUCAGAAACCAAGCUCACGGAAAAUGUACUUAUCUGGGUAUGGUGUGGAGCUAGCAAUUAAGAGUACAGAAUACAAAGCACUGGAUGAUACCCAAGUUAAAACUGUGACUAAUACUACUGUAGAGGAUGAGACUGAAACAAAUGAAGUUCAAGGAUUUCUCUUUGGGAAACUAAAAGAAAUAUAUUCAGAUCUUAGAGAUAAUCUGACAGCAUUCCAAAAAUACCUGACUGAGAGUAACAAACAAAUGACGCCUUUGAAAGUCUGGGAACUACAAGAUCUUAGUUUUCAAGCAGCUUCUCAAAUAAUGUCCACUCCAGUUUAUGAUGCCAUUAAAUUAAUGAAAGACAUUUCACAGAACUUCCCUAUAAAAGCCAGAUCUCUAACCAGAAUUGCUGUAAAUCAACAUAUGAGAGAAGAAAUAAAGGAAAAUCAAAAGUAUAUUCCAGAAUUUCUUCCGAGGUAGUAUGGUUUUCUUCAUAGGAUAAAGAAUAAAGGCUGUGAGUUAAUUA
rnacentral:sRNA from 1 species